CCCUUAGAUGUUCUGGGCCGCACGCGCGCUACACUGAUGCAUUCAACGAGUCUAAAACCUGCUCUGAUAGGGGUGGGUAAUCUUUUGAAUGUGCAUCGUGAUUGGGAUAGAUGAUUGCAAUUUUUCAUCUUCAACGAGGAAUGCCUAGUAAACGCAAGUCAUCAGCUUGCAUUGAUUACGUCCCUGCCCUUUGUACACACCGCCCGUCGCUCCUACCGAUUGAAUGAUCCGAUGAAUAUCAUGGAUUGAGGAUGCAAGUAGGUUAGCCUAUCUUCAUCUUCGAGAAGUGAAGUAAAUCUUAUCAUUUAGAGGAAGUAGAAGUCGUAACA
rnacentral:rRNA from 1 species